rnacentral:rRNA from 1 species
UGCGCGUAAAGCGUCCGCAGGUGGCACUGUAAGUCUGCUGUUAAAGAGCAAGGCUCAACCUUGUAAAGGCAGUGGAAACUACAGAGCUAGAGUACGUUCGGGGCAGACGGAAUUCCUGGUGUAGCGGUGAAAUGCGUAGAGAUCAGGAAGAACACCGGUGGCGAAAGCGCUCUGCUAGGCCGUAACUGACACUGAGGGACGAAAGCUAGGGGAGCGAAUGGGAUUAGAUACCCCAGUAGUCCUAGCCGUAAACGACGGAUACUAGGCGUGGCUUGUAUCGACCCAGAGCCGUGCCGGAGCCAACGCGUUAAGUAUCCCGCCUGGGGAGUACGCACGCAAGUGUGAAACUC